GGUGAACGCUGGCGGCGUGCCUAAUACAUGCAAGUCGAGCGAACAGACCAGGAGCUUGCUCCUCUGACGUUAGCGGCGGACGGGUGAGUAACACGUGGAUAACCUACCUAUAAGACUGGGAUAACUUCGGGAAACCGGAGCUAAUACCGGAUAAUAUAUUGAACCGCAUGGUUCAAUAGUGAAAGACGGUUUUGCUGUCACUUAUAGAUGGAUCCGCGCCGCAUUAGCUAGUUGGUAAGGUAACGGCUUACCAAGGCAACGAUGCGUAGCCGACCUGAGAGGGUGAUCGGCCACACUGGAACUGAGACACGGUCCAGACUCCUACGGGAAGCAGCAGUAGGGAAUCUUCCGCAAUGGGCGAAAGCCUGACGGAGCAACGCCGCGUGAGUGAUGAAGGUCUUCGGAUCGUAAAACUCUGUUAUUAGGGAAGAACAAAUGUGUAAGUAACUAUGCACGUCUUGACGGUACCUAAUCAGAAAGCCACGGCUAACUACGUG
rnacentral:rRNA from 1 species